UACGAAGGGGGCUAGCGUUGUUCGGAAUUACUGGGCGUAAAGCGCGCGUAGGCGGGCGUUUAAGUCAGGGGUGAAAUCCUGGAGCUCAACUCCAGAACUGCCUUUGAUACUGAAGAUCUUGAGUUCGGGAGAGGUGAGUGGAACUGCGAGUGUAGAGGUGAAAUUCGUAGAUAUUCGCAAGAACACCAGUGGCGAAGGCGGCUCACUGGCCCGAUACUGACGCUGAGGCACGAAAGCGUGGGGAGCAAACAGG
rnacentral:rRNA from 1 species